rnacentral:rRNA from 1 species
UGAGGAAUAUUGGACAAUGGGUGGAAGCCUGAUCCAGCCAUCCCGCGUGUAGGAUGACGGCCUUAUGGGUUGUAAACUACUUUUAUCUGGGGAUAAACCUACUUACGUGUAAGUAGCUGAAGGUACCAGAAGAAUAAGCACCGGCUAACUCCGUGCCAGCAGCCGCGGUAAUACGGAGGGUGCAAGCGUUAUCCGGAUUUAUUGGGUUUAAAGGGUCCGUAGGCGGAUUAAUCAGUCAGUGGUGAAAUCUCAUAGCUUAACUAUGAAACUGCCAUUGAUACUGUUAGUCUUGAGUGAUGUUGAAGUUGCUGGAAUGUGUAGUGUAGCGGUGAAAUGCUUAGAUAUUACGCAGAACACCAAUUGCGAAGGCAGGUGACUAAACAUCAACUGACGCUGAUGG